rnacentral:tRNA from 1 species
GUACCCUUAGCUCAGCUGGAUAGAGCGUCUGGCUACGGACCAGAAGGCCGGGGGUUCGAAUCCUCCAGGGUACGCCA